UACGGGGGGGGCAAGCGUUGUUCGGAAUUACUGGGCGUAAAGGGCUCGUAGGCGGUUUGUCGCGUCGGGAGUGAAAACACCGGGCUUAACUCGGUGCUGGCUUUCGAUACGGGCAGACUAGAGGUAUUCAGGGGAGAACGGAAUUCCUGGUGUAGCGGUGAAAUGCGCAGAUAUCAGGAGGAACACCGGUGGCGAAGGCGGUUCUCUGGGAAUGUCCUGACGCUGAGGAGCGAAAGUGUGGGGAGCGAACAGG
rnacentral:rRNA from 1 species